AGAAUUGACCACAAAUGUCCUUUCAUUAAGUGGUUGUUAAAAGCCUUAUUUUUAGGAUUUGACAUAGCAAAGGAAAAAAGUCAUUCCAUGGGGAAGACACCGCACCAUCCAAGCCAUGAAAAGUAUGAAAAUAGAUAGGCUGCUUUUUCCUUGGGGUCAUUAGCACUUACCUAUUUUCUGGAUCCCUGGUUUGCUGAAAGCAACAAUGGAUGACAUUCACAAUCAGAAUGACUGGCUGAAUGUGUUUCCUGGUACUAUCACAGUUUUGUCCCUUGGCUUCCCCCAGAAUGAAAAUCAGCAGUAAACCCCAACCCAGAGAUUAGGUAAAAUUUAGAUCAAAAUUUCAGAAUUAGAAGAUGAUUUAGUAAUCAUUUAGUGUUUAGGCAGUCACCAUGUGAGGAUCUGUAAGUUCUGGGGGUGCUGUUGAUGGUUUUAAAAUCCUCCUCAAUGGUGAAAUUCACUUGUGUCUUCCCUUUGGAGCCCACAUCACCGUGAUCUGUGUCAAGCAGACUAAGUCACCUGGCAGCAGGUAACGUGUGUUUCUGGCUGAUGGAAAUUGCUGGGUUUGCCUUCCACUGAGAAAAAGUUUUUUUUUGAAAUGGAGUCUCUUGCUCUGUCUCCCAGGUUGGAGUAGAGUGGCAUGAUCUCGGCUCACUGCAAGCUCUGCAUCCCGGGUUCACGCCAUUCUCCUGCCUCAGCCUCCCAAGUAGCU
rnacentral:lncRNA from 1 species